rnacentral:rRNA from 1 species
UACAGAGGGGGCAAGCGUUGUUCGGAAUUACUGGGCGUAAAGGGCGCGUAGGCGGCCUGCUAAGUCGAACGUGAAAUCCCCGAGCUCAACUCGGGAACUGCGUCCGAUACUGGCAGGCUUGAAUCCGGGAGAGGGAUGCGGAAUUCCAGGUGUAGCGGUGAAAUGCGUAGAUAUCCGGAGGAACACCGGUGGCGAAGGCGGCUUCCUGGACCGAUCACUGACGCUGAGGCGCGAAAGCUAGGGGAGCAAACGGG